UAUUGAAAAUUUCAUCUAUUUUUGCUGUUAAAAACCGGUGUAGCCGGUGAAAUAACCAGAUAGUUAUCACAUGUACCUCAUACUGAUGUAUAGGAACUAAUUUUUAACAGUAAAAAUGGAUGAAAUUUUUAACA
rfam:Gossypium raimondii Chr13_contig_1076, whole genome shotgun sequence.